UAGAAACAUAUCCUCGCGUGACGUCCUGGUAACACUCAGUACUCCUAUGUCAGUGCAAUAGUGUGUACACACACACCCCACCCCCGUUCUCACAUCACCCCCGAUUCCACUGGUGAGGCCCCCCGCAUGCCUGGUUCAUGAUCCUUCUAAACUCUCCCAAGUCCUAGCCAUAUCAACACUUUCCCUUACAACAUCCAUUCGAACACAGCGCCCUCCCUCCCCGCAUCUGAAUACAUCUACCCAGUUGGCAGAGAGCACAUUUCUCCCUGAGCGAGCAGUAUUGUGAAUUUUAUCUUCUCUUCCAGAAAUCAGUUCGUCUUCGUUGCAGCAGAUGAAAUUUCUUGUAACACCUCUGCAGUUACGGACGAGUUUAUGCUGCCGACCCCUACCACCACACACUUGCUCCAGCCCCCACCUACAGCGUUGGUGCCAUGAAUGCUUUUGCACCCCUGACUGAUGCCAAGACUAGGAGCCAUGCUGAUGAUGUGGGUCUCGUUCUUUCUUCAUUGCAGGCUAGUAUAUACCGAGGGGGAUACAACCGCUUUGCUCCAUACUAAAUGACAAAACCAUUAAAACCUUCCAGUGUGGGGAGAAAGGAAGCUUUCCGAGGCCUGGGUGUUGCAAUACAUGCAGUAACGCAUCAUUUUAGCAGCCCUAAAGAUUAAAAAAAAAAAAAAAAAAAAAAAAGAGGGAAAAAAUUACAUUUUUUAUCUUAUACCUCAGAUAUUUUGUUCUGUGUAUUUUAAUAUUGUGGGUCUUUAAUUUCUGAAGGUUCCGUAGUUGGUUGCUGGCUGUAGGAGUUUUUCUGUGGUUGAAAUAGAGAGAUGCUAGCUAUGAAUUAAAACUGGAUUAGGGCCAUAUCCAGAGUGCUAUAUCAUGUAAAUGAAUUAUAUAUGCUGAAUAUCAAGCUACUGGGGUUAUCAGCUGUUUGGGAAGAGUGUAAGUGACUACAGUAGUCAUUUUUUUUUUUUUUUUUACUGCAUCUGCAUUAUUUUAUUUUAUGAAUGGGGAAGGGUGGGAGGGUCUUAGGGGAUCAGGACUGGGAUUUGGGCUAAAAGGAAAAAAAUAUAUAGUAACUGAUCAAUCUAAAUGACCCACUGCACCAACAAUCAUAUAUCAGCGGUUCUAAGUUGCUCAUUGAGUUCAAGCCAAAGGUUCUGUUAUUAAGGGGGUGCUUCUAAAAGCACUUUUUGCAUCCAAGUUGAAUGAAGCUGUACAAACCCAUCCUUUAAACCAUUCCACCCGGCAGUAUUCAGCUUCUUAACCAGCCGCUAGUUAUUUAGGCAAAAACUGCUAGUUAGGCCAUCAACAAGCAUUCUUUUUAUAUUUCUUCCAGUAUAAUAAAUUAUUGAUAUCAUUGCUGACUUUUAUAUUAUGGGAGGGAAAAAAUAACAUUAAUAAAAAGGUGAUAAAAAGCACUGUUUCUAUUUUUUUCUUUUUUUCCAAAAAAAAGAAAGUAAUAAAAACUUAAAUCCUUUGUACCAGUUAAAAAAAAAAAUGUAUAAAAUUUACAUCUGUGCAGUGGAGUUGUUAAGUUCUAGAAACAGUCUAUGAAGCUUUAGUUUUAGCCUAGUAAACAACUGUUAGAGACAGAUGUAUAAUUUUUAUGGAAUUACAUGAUAAUCAUAUUCGGAUUUAUAGAAGCAUUUUACAAGUAUUGCAGUCAUUGAGUAGAGAUAAUCAUGGUAUUUUCAUCAGCUUGGUACUUUUUGAAACAUGACCGUGUUGUGUGAGCAACCUGCAAUUUUUCAGUCCGUGAGAUCCUGCCCUCCUACUCUUCCUGGUCCCCAACGAUUAUCUCAAACCAGGAUCUUUAGUUCCAUCUCCAAGGCCCAGGACACUUGUCAGAAGGAAGCAAAAAAAAAAAACAAAACAAAAAACAAAAAAAAAUAGACCCGCCCUCUUCAUCCCGGAAGAACAAAGUCCCCCGCCUGUGAAGCAGGGCCAGAGUGACACAGCCGAAAAAUUGCAGUUUGUCUGUACUUCUGUUUGAACUCUUUCCAUGUUGUCCUGUUUACAAAAGUUAACCUAAGUUGGGGUAUCUGUCACGGGUCUUCCUGUUUUUUGUAUUUAAAUAAAAAACAAAAAAAACAGCGGCAAGCUGCCCGGGUAGUUGGCCGCCAUAGUUCAACCUUCACGUGUUCAGUGCCGGCCCCGUGCAGGCGCGCACUUCAGUAAGUUAUCAACUCACCGCUGUGAACCUGCCAACCCGCUGUAACAACUCUGCUUUCAAACAAAACCAAACAAAAAAAAAAAAAAAAGAAAAAAGUAAAAAAAAAAAAAAAAGUGUUUGUGAUCCAGCUUCCUCUCGGUCAUCCUACGUGCAUGCAGUAAGAUUGGUUGGAUAUUAAACCAUCAAUAAAGUUUCACAAGAUUUGAAAACAAAGUUUCUGUAGCUUCGAUAUCUAAGACAGAGUCUCGUUAUCUUGAAAAGAGAGAAGGGGGAGGGGGGAACCG